rnacentral:tRNA from 1 species
CAAAACGUAGUUUAAUAAAGAUUCCGGUUUUGGGGACCGGGGAUGAAGGUUUGGAGCCUUCUCUUUUGA